UGGGGAAUAUUGCGCAAUGGGCGAAAGCCUGACGCAGCGACGCCGCGUGGGUGAAGAAGGCCUUCGGGUUGUAAAGCCCUGUCAAAGAGAAAGAAUUCUUUCGAAAAUAAUAAGUUCGGAAGUUGACGGUACUCUUGGAGGAAGCACCGGCUAACCACGUGCCAGCAGCCGCGGUAAUACGUGGGGUGCAAGCGUUGUUCGGAAUUACUGGGCGUAAAGCGCAUGUAGGCGGUCAGGUGUGUCAGGUGUGAAAUCCCUUGGCUUAACCAAGGAACUGCGCCUGAAACUGCUUGGCUAGAGUUUGGGAGAGGAGGGUGGAAUUUCCAGUGUAGAGGUGAAAUUCGUAGAUAUUGGAAGGAACACCGGUAGCGAAGGCGACUCUCUGGACCAAAACUGACGCUGAGAUGCGAAAGCAUGGGUAGCAAACAGG
rnacentral:rRNA from 1 species